ACUCUCAAGGAAGUUUAGGAUAUUUCACAGUUCUGAAUGUUAGCAACUGAAAAUGCUGGUAGACGAUGAAGCAUCUGAAGAUGACCCGGAUUCAGUUUCCUCAAACAGUGAAAGAGCCUAUAUUUUCAAAUAAGAGAGUAUAACAAUUUCUGUACACUAUGGAGGAUUUUGACUUGGUGAAAACCUUACAAAAAGCUUCAUCUGUAGAAUCUGAUAUCAAAAAUUCUCCCCAUUCUCUUGGAUUGAGCUUAAAUACUAAUAGAAGUAGUACAAAUGGGGUAUCCUCUUUCUCAGGGAAGACCAGACCCUCUGCCAUUCAAGGUACAGCUGAGUUCCUAAACUCCUUAACGCAAGAGCUACAGAACAGUGGAAAGACUGAUUCGGAACUUUGGAAAAACUGUGAGACUAGGUGGUUACAGCUGUUCAAUUUGGUGGAAAAACAAUGCCAAGAACAAAUAGUUGCUCAGCAAGAACAGUUCCACAACCAAAUUCAACGUAUACAGGAGGAGAUCAGAAAUUUAGUCAAAUUGCAGAUCAGUAAUGGUUCCUGGGCUUCUAGUGAUAAAAGUCCUUCAAGCAAACAAUUAUUUUCAGAAAGUCAGAUGGGUUUUUUUUCUGAAAAUAGUGAAAGAAAUGAAUCUGUUAUUAGUUAUCCUGAGCCUAAGGAGCCCGAGAUGCAACAAGAAAUGUCCACAUCACAGCCAGACUGCAAUGUGGACGGCAGCUCUGUGAGCAGUGGGUAUGGCACCUUUUGUAUCUCAGAAUUGAACACCUACAAAUCCAAGGACCCUGCAGAGCUCAUGGAGCACACAGGCCUUCCCAAGGGACAAUACCCAGCACCAGGAGUGCAGACAGAUUCGCCUGUAGAUGGCGCAGGAAAUGGCAGUUUUUAUGCACAAUCUCCCGAAGAGUUUUGUGAAUCUUUAAAGGAAGAUACUUCCAGUUUUCCUGAUGAAUUUGAACAUAAUUUUCUUGGUGAAAAUAAGAUUUCUGAAGUAUACAGUGGAAAAGCAGAUAGUAAAUCCAUAACAUCAUGGGCACAAAAGCUGAAGCAGAACCAAACCAAGAGAGCACAUAUAGAGGAUGGAUGUUCAAAAUCUAAGCAGGGGAGUGAGCAUAGCAAGAGACCUCCCAAUGAGAAGUCUGAUUUUGCUGCUCCUGCUGCUGCACACCCUCGUGCUUUUUACCUCUCUAAACCAGACGAAGAUCCAAGCUCGUGGAUGUCUGAUUCAGGAACAGGACUGACCUACUGGAAGCUGGAGGAGAAGGACAUGUAUCGCUGUCUGCCUCAAUCUUUAGAGAAGACAUUUGUACCCUGCACCUUGGCAGACGUGUCACCGAACCAGGUCCUUACUCUAGAUCCGACGUUGCAUAUGAAGCCAAAUCAGCAGAUUUCGGGGAUUCAACCACAUGGCUUUUUGAAUGCUCUUGAUGACAGAAUAUCCUUUUCACCAGACUCUGUUCUGGAACCAAGUGUAUCUAGUCACUCUGACAUCGACUCAUUUUCACAAGCAAGCAAUAUCACUUCUCAGUUAUCCGGAUUUCCAAAAUAUCCUUCAAAUGCAAAAGCCUCAUCAAUGGACUCUUGGAAGAAUCAUGCAUUCCAAAGUGAAAGUAGGACCAGUUCCACAUUUCCUUCAGUGUACACUAUGACGAGUAACAAUAUCUCAGUCAACACUGUAGAUGAAGAGAACACUGUCAUGGUAGCGUCGGCCUCAGUCAGUCAAGCCCAGCUUCCAGAUGCAGCCAACAGUGUCCCAGAAUGCAUUUCAUUGACUUCCCUGGAAGAUCCCGUGAUAUUGUCUAAGUAUGUAUUUCAGUGACAGCUUGUAAUGUUAACAGAUUUUCUGUGAUGUCUGAUUGAAUGAUGAGAAUGAUUUUUUUUAAUAUUGUUUUUUAGUUGUUUAUUUAUUAAAUAAAAUUUAAUAAAUUUUAUUUAUUUAU
ensembl:lincRNA